CGAGUCAGUAGCAGGCUAGCACUGCCUUCGGGAGGCAGGGGCCGGAGGUUCAAAUCCUCUCACCCCGACCA
rnacentral:tRNA from 1 species